AUCAGAGUUCAUUGUAUUAACCAGUUCCCUAAGGAAAGUUUCCCAUUGAAUGUCCCCAUUUAGGUUAAAGCGGAGUGUAUUUGUGUUAGAAACGUCCCCAAAAGUCAUAAGUAUAUGGCAUUCUGAUGACUAUAGUUGGAUAUGCUUUGGGAUUUUUUAAAAGAUGUAAUCAUGUUCCUUUUUUCUGUAUAAAUCUACCUAUAAAGUCAACAAACAAUUUAUCAGUGAUCACCUCACUCAAGGAAGGGUUAUUGUUGUAAAAUCCUUCAUUAUGUCUAAGAUUUGAAAAUAUGGAACAAAUACCAAUCAGAAUGAGGACUAAGAUAAAGCAAUCCAUCCCCCAAAUCAUUACACAUAUCUUAAUAUAUGCAGAUGUUUAAUAAUCAGAGUUCAUUGUAUUAACCAGUUCCCUAACGAAAGUUUCCCAUUGAAUGUCCCCAUUUAGGUUAAAGCGGAGUGUAUUUGUGUUAGAAACGUCCCCAAAAGUCAUAAGCAUAUGGCAUACUAAUGACUAUAGUUGGAUAUGCCUUGCAUUUUUUUUUUUUUUUAAUGGUAUCAUGUCCCUAUUUUCUGUAUAAAUCUAUGCAUGAAGUCGGAGGACAAUUUAUCAAUGAUUCCCACACUCAAGUAAGGGUUAUGUUGUAAAAUCCUUCAUUAUGUCUAAGAUUUGAAAAUAUGGAACAAAUACCAAUCAGAAUGAGGACUAAGAUACAGCAAUCCAUCCUCAAGAUCAUUACACAUACUUUAACACAGGGGUCCCCAAUCCCAGUCCACGAGGGCCGGUGUCCCUGCAGGUUUUAGAUGUGUCCUUGAUCCAUCACAGCUGAUUUAAAUGGAUAAAUUACCUUCUCAACAUGUCUUGAAUUGUGAUUCAGGUGUGUUGACCCAGGGUGAGAUCUAAAACCUGCAGGGACCCAUGCUUUAACAUGAGCAAAUAUUUAAUAAUCAGAGUUCAUUGUGUUUACCAGUUCCCUAAGGAAAGUUUCCCAUUGAAUGUCCCCAUUUAGGUUAAAGCGGAGUGUAUUUGUGUUAACAACGUCCCCAAAAGUCAUAAGUAUAUGGCAU
ensembl:lncRNA